CAAAUGCAUCAUGAGGUCUGUGUGAAAGCAAAUGUCUUCUUUACAUUUUUAAUAAAGGUCCUGCUAAUGAGCAGACGGUGAAUCAGGAUGAACAUCAGCAGCAAGUGUACUCCUCUCUUCUUCAUGGUGAUCGUUGUGUCUAUGAGACAAUCAGAGGCUCUGAAAACACUGAAAAUGGACAACGUGGUGACCCAGAGGAGAGCUCUGACUACUAUAAUGUGAAUCCAAAUUCAGCCACAGCUCUAAAAUCUUAACAGCAGCUCUUUAGCUGUUUUUAUCUUUUUCUCUUUAAAGGAACUUAAAAACUUGACGUCACUUUGAGUGAAAAGGAGCAGAUUUUUCAUUCAAAGCAAUGAUCCUGAUAGCCUGAGUUUAUAUUUCCUUCAGAAAGAAUCCCUCAGUGUGUUUCAGUCGUUUAUCUUCCUUUAAAUCAGAGGAGUCCAAACUAUGGCUCACGGGCCAAACAUGGCCCAUGCUCAGAUUUUUUUAUGGCCCAUGCAUCUUGUCCAUACAUGUUAUUUUUGGCCCACCGGCCCAAGCAAUGAAUUCAACUCAGCAUGUAAUUCCAAAAAGUGAUUUUUGGAAAGUGCCAAUAAAAAACAAAAAACGAUGUAUUUAAACUGGUGUAAAUGACUUUUUGGCUCCAAUCGGUCAAACAUAUCUGUCAUUCUGUAAUUUCCCUAUUGUGGGAUCAAUAAAGUAUCAUCAUCGUCAUCAUGAAUGAUAUCAAUUCAUUCUGAGUGAGAACAAAUCCUGUCACAGGUAGAAGCUGCAAUUACAUUUUGGCAAAGCAGCUUUUAUGUAUUUUUUAUUUAUCAGGAAAAAUUUAAUUUUUUUCAUAGAGAUCUGGUCAAGGGGGCAGCAGAAGUUACAACACAUAUAAAAUCACAGUUCUAUAAAGAUAGUUGAAGAGGACCAAAAGGAGCAGCUUGAUUAUAAUGUAGCUACAGUAACACAGUCAUAAAGAUGCUUGCAAAAUGGGUCAUUUCUUUAUUUUAUUCAUAAGGCCUUCAUAAAUUCUCUUGACUACAGUCUAAUUAAUAAAUUUAAGCAGAGAUGUUAUACAUCAAAAACAUAAAAACAUCACUUUUUGGCACAACACCAGCAGCUGGAUAAGAUCAAGUUUCCAGAGAUGAACAUUUGCAUAGAAAAUGUUCGUCUUGUUUGGCUCCACAUGUUUGUGAAUGCAGAUUUUCUCUGUUCUGAACUUAAACAAGAACUGCUUGAGAUCCAGACUGAGUGACUCCACCUACGUGACAUUUUACACACGUCAACCACUGCUCUGGAGUCAGACCUGCGCUGUGUA